ACGACUGAAUUGUUUAGAGGUUAAAAGUUAAAACUAAUUUGAAACGUUUUGUAAUUUAAAUAGCUUUAUAUUGUUUAUUUAAAGAUUGUGCUUGUGAAGGAUUAUAACAUAAAAUGUCGUUUCUUUGAUAACUUUCAGAGCAACAUAUUUGAUUUAAAAACUUCACAAACAUCCAAGAAUAGAACAUUAUAUUGAUAUU
rnacentral:lncRNA from 1 species